UGGGGAAUAUUGCACAAUGGGCGAAAGCCUGAUGCAGCGACGCCGCGUGAGGGAUGACGGCCUUCGGGUUGUAAACCUCUUUCAGUAGGGACGAAGCGCAAGUGACGGUACCUGCAGAAGAAGCACCGGCUAACUACGUGCCAGCAGCCGCGGUAAUACGUAGGGUGCGAGCGUUGUCCGGAAUUACUGGGCGUAAAGAGCUCGUAGGCGGUUUGUCACGUCGUCUGUGAAAUCCUAGGGCUUAACCCUGGACGUGCAGGCGAUACGGGCUGACUUGAGUACUACCGGGGAGACUGGAAUUUCUGGUGUAGCGGUGGAAUGCACAGAUAUCAGGAAGAACACCGAUGGCGAAGGCAGGUCUCUGGGUAGUAACUGACGCUGAGGAGCGAAAGCAUGGGUAGCGAACAGG
rnacentral:rRNA from 1 species